rnacentral:rRNA from 1 species
UACGAAGGGAGCUAGCGUUGUUCGGAAUCACUGGGCGUAAAGCGCACGUAGGCGGAUGUGUCAGUCAGGGGUGAAAUCCUGGAGCUCAACUCCAGAACUGCCUUUGAUACUGGAGAGCUCGAGUCCGGAAGAGGUGAGUGGAACUCCGAGUGUAGAGGUGAAAUUCGUAGAUACUCGGAAGAACACCAGUGGCGAAGGCGGGUCUCUGGGCAAUUCCUGACGCUGAGGCGCGAAAGCGUGGGGAGCAAACGGG